rnacentral:rRNA from 1 species
GAUGAACGCUGGCGGCGUGCCUAAUACACGCAAGUCGAGCGAACGGACGAGAAGCUUGCUUCUCUGAUGUUAGCGGCGGACGGGUGAGCAACACGUGGAUAACCUACCUAUAAGACUGGGAUAACUUCGGGAAACCGGAGCUAAUACCGGAUAAUAUUUUGAACCGCAUGGUUCAAAAGUGAAAGACGGUCUUGCUGUCACUUAUAGAUGGAUCCGCGCUGCAUUAGCUAGUUGGUAAGGUAACGGCUUACCAAGGCAACGAUGCAUAGCCGACCUGAGAGGGUGAUCGGCCACACUGGAACUGAGACACGGUCCAGACUCCUACGGGAGGCAGCAGUAGGGAAUCUUCCGCAAUGGGCGAAAGCCUGACGGAGCAACGCCGCGUGAGUGAUGAAGGUCUUCGGAUCGUAAAACUCUGUUAUUAGGGAAGAACAUAUGUGUAAGUAACUGUGCACAUCUUGACGGUACCUAAUCAGAAAGCCACGGCUAACUACGUGCCAGCAGCCGCGGUAAUACGUAGGUGGCAAGCGUUAUCCGGAAUUAUUGGGCGUAAAGCGCGCGUAGGCGGUUUUUUAAGUCUGAUGUGAAAGCCCACGGCUCAACCGUGGAGGGCCAUUGGAAACUGGAAAACUUGAGUGCAGAAGAGGAAAGUGGAAUUCCAUGUGUAGCGGUGAAAUGCGCAGAGAUAUGGAGGAACACCAGUGGCGAAGGCGACUUUCUGGUCUGUAACUGACGCUGAUGUGCGAAAGCGUGGGGAUCAAACAGGAUUAGAUACCCUGGUAGUCCACGCCGUAAACGAUGAGUGCUAAGUGUUAGGGGGUUUCCGCCCCUUAGUGCUGCAGCUAACGCAUUAAGCACUCCGCCUGGGGAGUACGACCGCAAGGUUGAAACUCAAAGGAAUUGACGGGGACCCGCACAAGCGGUGGAGCAUGUGGUUUAAUUCGAAGCAACGCGAAGAACCUUACCAAAUCUUGACAUCCUUUGACAACUCUAGAGAUAGAGCUUUCCCCUUCGGGGGACAAAGUGACAGGUGGUGCAUGGUUGUCGUCAGCUCGUGUCGUGAGAUGUUGGGUUAAGUCCCGCAACGAGCGCAACCCUUAAGCUUAGUUGCCAUCAUUAAGUUGGGCACUCUAAGUUGACUGCCGGUGACAAACCGGAGGAAGGUGGGGAUGACGUCAAAUCAUCAUGCCCCUUAUGAUUUGGGCUACACACGUGCUACAAUGGACAAUACAAAGGGCAGCGAAACCGCGAGGUCAAGCAAAUCCCAUAAAGUUGUUCUCAGUUCGGAUUGUAGUCUGCAACUCGACUACAUGAAGCUGGAAUCGCUAGUAAUCGUAGAUCAGCAUGCUACGGUGAAUACGUUCCCGGGUCU